UAAAAUGUCCAUAUGGCAGCGAGGCCGUUUAUUGCAGGGCAUAUAUUUUUUCGUACAUGCGUUUCUAGGUAACCCAUGUAAGCAACGUGAAGAGUAGUGCUGACCGAUUCCGGUUGGUUCGUCAUAUUUCGCCACAUUUCCGGUGCACAAGCGACGUAUUGAAAACGCGUUUCUAUAACCUAGGUUGGACUUUGGCAUCACAGCAUUACUAUGGGGCGCGGGAAAUGUCUGCAUUUUGUGUGGGUCUUUCUUUGAUUUUAGUUGUGCUGCUAUUGACUGAUCAUCACUGCGUGGGGCAGGCCUUGCAGUCUGAUCAUGCUUACAGAGGACGGCGUUAUACACCAUCUGGAUGGUUUGCCACCCCGAGGGCGGAUGCCAGCCCCGCCGUAGAGCCGGCGCCGGGACCGUCCAGGGAGGCCGCCGAGACGCCAGCCCUUCAGUCUUUCACGGAGAACCCACAGGCCUGAGUCGAUGACGACAGCGAUGACGAUGACUUUGUGGAUCCCCUGUCACGUUGGGCCGUCUGACCUGUCGGCGCCCGCGGCGGUCCGCAGCGUCCCCCCCCCCCCCCCCCCCACCGCCUGUGACUAACCCAACGGCCGGUGCCCACAACACCAUGUCGGAUCUCCCAGGCAAGAUGCAGAAGUCCAUUCUUCAAGAUCUGGACGAUCACCCUAAGCAUGACCUGACAUGGGUCAAGGCGCCGUCGGCAUUCAUGACUGACUGGUGCGCCGCACAGUCUGCAGAACUGCGACGAGCAAAAUCGAGCGCUGGGUCACAGAACAUGUCAUGUCAAGUUGAGGUCAUGGAACGGCAAGUUGGUUAGUUAAACAUAACAUACAACGCACCAUAGGAAUAUUCUCAUGCAGGCUGUUUUCUCUCAUUUCGGCGUUAUGAUCAUUGCAUGUUCAUCAGAUGCCUUGUCAUGGAAAUAUCCCGGCCUCUCGGUAAAUGCCUAUGGUUACAUGCUUAGGCUUAGUGGGGCUUUACUAUCUGAUGCCUUUCUGGUCGUUCCAAACACAGAGCUUGAGGUGACGGCACGCAUUUAAGUCUAAAUGUGCUUGGGUAAGUGUGCAAGAUAUCUGAUGUGUGCAUGUAUUGAAGAAAAGAGGUGGUGCGCACAGGAACCUACAAUGUUUAUCUUGGGGCACACAGUCGCUCCCUGCAUGCCUGUACCGGGUGCUGGCCCGGCUCAGGCUCCUGCUGUAGGUAGAGCCGGGAAGGAGUCCGAUUUAACGUUGCGUAGUCUUCGUCUUUGUUGUGGCCGUGGAAGCGGGGGUGGCUUGAUACGAUGGCCUGUGACGAUGGUAUGUGAUGGUGUAUUUGAUCGUUUUAUGAUGACGAUGCGUUUGCCUCCGGACGGAAAACUGUACGCUGUGCUUGGUUCAGUCUCCUUUUUGGCUGCAUAAAUAACUUGGACGGCUUGUGAAUGUUGUUUUAUUGUGUUUGUGAGAAGUCCUGUGGACGGAAUGUGUUAUGUCUGGUUUAGGCGGAAUGCGUCUAAACUUUCGUCGUUUCGUGUCUUCUAAGGUGUGUUCUGUCGAUCUGAAUACACUUGCAUGGCAUGUUGAA